UUCAGACAGGAAGCUGUGUCAUAAUGCCCACCUCAUAUUGUCCCCUUAACCUCCUGUCCUCCACAGGAAAUUGUCAUGGAGAUGGUAUUUCACAGCACUUCCGGCAUGGUGCACUGCGGCAAAGAGACCAAAAUCAUGCAACAACGACUGGAAGACAGGAACUUUGACUGCCGUUGCUGUGGCAGAGGGAAAACAGUGCACUCAUCUUGUUUUUUUCCGGCGUCCUGGAACGCACCCUUUAUGGUUGCCGGGCAAUGUAGCCAGUUGGGAGUUCUGAUUACCCGCACCUGUAUCCCAUCAGCUAUCUGCACACCUGGUCCUGAUAAUCAUCUCUCCUCUUCAUAAGCCCGGACCUGACAUCCAUUCCCUGCCGGAUCGUUAGCCAUGAACAUUACUCACCCGGAUCAUUUACCCCAUUCCCGCCUGGUCGUCAGAUUCCGCUACCCCAUUGGAUCCACCUAUUUACCCCCAUCAACUCACCACCGCUGCCCGCUACGCCAUCUGGAUAUAUCUACCCAUUCACAUUCACUUGUAAAUAAAUACUCACCUUCUUCCUACUCUCCUUGUCCUGGUCUGCUUCCGGGUUCGAUUUUGAAAGAACGUGACACAAAUAAGCA